rnacentral:misc_RNA from 1 species
UGGUUCUGGCAUCGAUGAAGAACGCAGCGAAAUGCGAUAAGUAAUGUGAAUUGCAGAAUUUAGUGAAUCAUCGAAUCUUUGAACGCACAUUGCGCCCAUUAGUAUUCUAGUGGGCAUGCCUGUUCGAGCGUCAUUUCAACCCUUAAGCCUCUGUUGCUUAGUGUUGGGAGCCUAUGGUGGCGUAGCUCCUCAAAUUCAGUGGCGGAGUCGGUUCACACUCUAGACGUAGUACAUUUCAUCUCGCCUGUGAGUUGGACCGGUCCGGUCUCUUGCCAUACAACCAAACCCCUAAUUUUUAGAAGGUUGACCUCGGAUCAGGUAGGAAUACCCGCUGA